rnacentral:rRNA from 1 species
UACGUAGGGGGCAAGCGUUGUCCGGAAUCAUUGGGCGUAAAGCGCGUGUAGGCGGUCCGGUAAGUCCGCUGUGAAAGUCGGGGGCUUAACCCUCGGAUGCCGGUGGAUACUGUCGGGCUUGAGUACGGAAGAGGCGAGUGGAAUUCCUGGUGUAGCGGUGAAAUGCGUUGAUAUCGAUAGGAACUCCGGUGGCGAAGGCGGCAUACUGGACCACAUCUGACGCUGAGGCGCGAAAGCCAGGGGAGCGAACGGG